CGGAUUAUCUGAGCACGCUAAGUAUGAGCUCCACCUCUCUUGGAUCUGACAGUGAAUUAGCCGGGAUGGACAAUUCGUUGUGGAGCUCCGCUGUUGAGCUGAGAAAAGGAGAGAACAAAGGGACACUGGUGAAGGUUCAACCUCUUUAGUCCCCCCAUGAACAGUGUUUGUUGAUGGAUUAAUAUACAUUACUGUUUCACUGUACCCUGACCCAUUGUUUUCUGUAGGUGGCAGAGAGUGUCCAGAGCCUGACCCAACUUCUAUACAGUCUACAGGCAGCUGUGACCCUCCAGGACAGCUGCUAUGAAGUCCACCAGCUCCUUCUUCAGGAGGGAGAAGGACCUCAGCUCCGAACCUUCGCCUCCCUUCAAAGCAGCCUGGUAUCAGUCACCCACUGAAAACAUUUUCUCAAUGUAAAACCUUACACGUUUUGAGGAAGCUGAGAUUUUAGAGUUAUGUCAACACAUAUAUUGUUGUCCAGGAGCAGGAGAAGCAGAGGAGUAUUGAGAAGAAAAAAGAGGAAGUGGAAAAGAAGGGUUUAGAGAGGAAGAAAGAAGAGGUGCAUGAGGUGCAGAAACUCCAGGUGAAGCUGAAACAAGAGCAACAACGUUGGGACAAAGAGUGUCUGGCCAGAGAGAAACAACAGAGUGAACAGGAGACUUUGCUGGAGCAGCGGGAGCAGCAGUGUCUUCUGGAAGCUGAGCGGCUGCGCUGUGAGCGCGAGGAGCUGGAGGCCCAGCUGCUGGAGUACCAGCAAAAUCUGGACAGACUGAGGGAGGGUCAGAGGAGUGUGGAGAGGGAGAAGGAGAAGAUCGAAGCGCAACAGAGACUGCUCCAGAGCUGGAGACAUAGCCGCCAGAGCAGCCUGCCUGUUAUGAUUCCACUGGGUGAAUACAAGGGGUCUACCCACAGCCGCUCAGGCAGCCUGGAUGGCAACUGUUCAGUGUACAAGAAUGAGGCAGCUUUGCUCACCUCACUCCAACAGAACCACCUCACCAACCAGCACCAGCAUCUUCUCUCCAUGCCAAGAAAAAACCACGAAGACCCCCUGCACAGUUCCACCUACUCGACCAACCUCGGCCUCAGUGCCAGCCUCUACAACAGCCUCAACACCCUGCUGAGCCAGACACACAGCAAACAGCCGCUGGAUGGCCUGACAUAUCCGAGCUACAGUAACAAUCAUGCCUGUCCCCAGGCCCUGAAUGACUCUAUCCACCCCUUUGGCAGCAGGAUCACUGCACAAUCACAGGAGACCAACACUUCAAACUUCAGACCAGUGGUGGACAAACAAUCCCCGGAUCCGUGGAGGUCAGAGGUCACAGGCCAUAGACUGUAUGAGGACGGCUUCUCUUCCUCUCAUUCUCUUAACCCUCUCCUCCCCCCUCAGGCGUACCUCUCUCUCGAAGGGCAGAAUAAGGAUGAGGGAGUUGAGGAGAACAUUGUUUACCUCUAAAGGUCCACGAGAGAAAAAUAAACAAUAUAGGCCACCAGUUGUAUACUGAACAAACGAUAAUAUGUCUGUUGCUUAAAUGUGUAUGUGUGCAUAUGUGUCCAUGUAAAUAUGAUGGAUUUAUGUUCAUCUUUUAAAAUCGGAGAGAUCAAAUAUAGAGGUGAUCGCAGGGAGAAAGUAUAAACAGACUGUACAGUAUGUGCCUUUAUCAUUGUAUGUUGUGAACUUUAACCAUUCUCCUCCUGUGUGAUCAAACCAUUGUGCCUUUUCACAAACAAGCUCUUUGUAAAUCAGCUUUUAUAUUUGUACUUCGUGUGUUUUUACUUCUACCACAAAUCUUUUAAGUAUCUGUUGCACUUUGUUUGAUGACAAAGGUACCUUUGUGCUACAAACGUUUUGACUUCAAAUACAAGAAAGUCAGGACAGAUUCAAAUUGAUGUAAUUUACCUCUUGAGCACUUAAAAUGAAAUAAGAAUAUAUGAG
rnacentral:lncRNA from 1 species